UACGAAGGGGGCUAGCGUUGUCCGGAAUCAUUGGGCGUAAAGAGCGUGUAGGCGGCCCGGUAAGUCCGCUGUGAAAGUCGGGGGCUCAACCCUCGAAUGCCGGUGGAUACUGUCGGGCUAGAGUGCGGAAGAGGCGAGUGGAAUUCCUGGUGUAGCGGUGGAAUGCGCAGAUAUCAGGAAGAACACCAACGGCGAAGGCAGCUCGCUAGGACGGUACUGACGCUGAGACGCGAAAGCGUGGGGAGCGAACAGG
rnacentral:rRNA from 1 species